GAAGAGAUGGCUCAGUAGUUAAGAGCCUGACCGCUCUUCUAGAGGACCUGGGUUCAAUUCCCAGCAUCUCCA
rnacentral:tRNA from 1 species